AAUCCGGUUGAUCCUGCCGGACCUGACUGCUAUCGGAUUGAUACUAAGCCAUGCGAGUCAUUGUAGUAAUACAAGGCAGACGGCUCAGUAACGCGUAGUCAACCUAACCUAUGGACGGGAAUAACCUCGGGAAACUGAGAAUAAUGCCCGAUAGAACACUAUACCUGGAAUGGUUUG
rnacentral:rRNA from 1 species